GCAUCUCCCUUACACUGAGAAGUCACCCGUGCAAGCCGGGUCGCCCUGA
rnacentral:tRNA from 1 species